rnacentral:rRNA from 1 species
UGGGGAAUAUUGCACAAUGGGCGAAAGCCUGAUGCAGCAACGCCGCGUGAGUGAUGAAGGCCUUCGGGUUGUAAAGCUCUGUCUUUUGGGACGAUAAUGACGGUACCAAAGGAGGAAGCCACGGCUAACUACGUGCCAGCAGCCGCGGUAAUACGUAGGUGGCAAGCGUUGUCCGGAUUUACUGGGCGUAAAGGAUGCGUAGGCGGAUUUUUAAGUGAGAUGUGAAAUACCCGGGCUUAACUUGGGUGCUGCAUUUCAAACUGGGAGUCUAGAGUGCGGGAGAGGAGAAUGGAAUUCCUAGUGUAGCGGUGAAAUGCGUAGAGAUUAGGAAGAACACCAGUGGCGAAGGCGAUUCUCUGGACCGUAACUGACGCUGAGGCAUGAAAGCGUGGUAGCAAACAGGAUUAGAUACCCUGGUAGUCCACGCCGUAAACGAUGAGUACUAGGUGUAGGAGGUAUCGACCCCUUCUGUGCCGCAGUUAACACAAUAAGUACUCCGCCUGGGAAGUACGAUCGCAAGA